GAUGAACGCUAGCGACAGGCCUAACACAUGCAAGUCGAGGGGCAGCACAAGGUAGCAAUACUGAGGUGGCGACCGGCGCACGGGUGAGUAACGCGUAUGCAACCUGCCUGUAACAGGGGAAUAGCCUCUUGAAAGAGAGAUUAAUGCCGCAUAAUACGAGAUUCGGGCAUCCGGAUUUAGUUAAACAUUUAUGGGUUACAGAUGGGCAUGCGUUUCAUUAGGUAGUUGGUGAGGUAACGGCUCACCAAGCCGACGAUGAAUAGGGGUUCUGAGAGGAAGGUCCCCCACACUGGUACUGAGACACGGACCAGACUCCUACGGGAGGCAGCAGUGAGGAAUAUUGGUCAAUGGACGCAAGUCUGAACCAGCCAAGUCGCGUGAAGGAUGAAGGUAUUAUGUAUUGUAAACUUCUUUUGUCAGGGAAUAAUGGGUGUCACGUGUGACGCAGAGGAAUGUACCUGACGAAUAAGCAUCGGCUAACUCCGUGCCAGCAGCCGCGGUAAUACGGAGGAUGCGAGCGUUAUCCGGAUUUAUUGGGUUUAAAGGGUGCGUAGGCGGUUUGUUAAGUCAGUGGUGAAANUUUGCGGCUCAACCGUAAAAUUGCCAUUGAAACUGGCGAACUUGANUACAGUA
rnacentral:rRNA from 1 species